UGGCCAUCAGAAUUUGUUAUUCCUUUGGCCAAGUACCAAAAAUGUAUAUAUGGGACCCAAAUUGUUAUUGGUAUGAGGUUUGGAAUUUGAUGUUUGAGACAGAGGAAUCGGGAAAGCGCAGAUACUUGGGUACAACAGUUGGUAUAAGUGACCUAGAUCCACUGAGCUGGGCAGAUUGUUUAGUAGGCAACUUCAGUACAAGCCAGGAUGUUCAGUCCCAGAUUACCUCAGUGAGCUUAGCAGACUCUCAAGCCUUCUCUCGUCCAGACUUCCCUGACAACUAAGGUGGUACUUCAUCAAGCAAUGUGGAUUUUGAUGAAAACAGUCUUUUGCAUAAUAGCUCUUGGCAACAAGUAGCUCCACCACCAAUGCGAACUUAUACAAAGGUUCAAAAAAUGGGAUCAGUUGGGAGGUCAAUUGAUGUUGCAAGUUUUAAGAAUUAUGCAGAAUUAUGCUUGGCAAUUGAAUGCAUGUUUGGACUUGAGGGUCUGCUCAAUGACUAGAAACGCUCAGGCUAGAAAUUGGUGUAUGUGGAUUAUGAGAAUGAUGUACUUCUUAUUAGGGAUGAUCCCUGGAAGUAAGUUCUGUUCUGUUGUUUUGUGUAUACAUGUACUAAUAGAACCCAGAUCAACUCAACCCCCACUAUACCAUUAUAGUAACUAGACCAAUACAUUCUCACAGUAAAAUUAAGCAGAAAUAAAGUCAG